UCGCGUCAAGCGCCGCAGGCAGGAGCGGGGGACCCAAGGUAAGUGCCGGGCCCGGCAGUUGAUGCCGGACCGGCUUGGGGUGAAGCCACGCCUCCCACGGGAGGGGUGGCCGGGCAACUCAACCGGCCCGAACCCGACAGCUCACCUCGCAGGCGUCGGUGAGGGGAUCG
rfam:Streptomyces sp. F-1 isolate Streptomyces sp. F1 genome assembly, contig: gnlCTBESTEPF1_1